UACGGAGGGAGCAAGCGUUGUUCGGAUUUACUGGGCGUAAAGGGCGCGUAGGCGGUCGUGACAAGUCACUUGUGAAAUCUCCGGGCUUAACUCGGAACGGUCAAGUGAUACUGUCGGACUAGAGUACAGAAGGGGCAACUGGAAUUCUCGGUGUAGCGGUGAAAUGCGUAGAUAUCGAGAGGAACACCUGCGGCGAAGGCGGCAUCCUGGACCGGUAUUGACGCUGAUGCGCGAAAGCCAGGGGAGCAAACGGG
rnacentral:rRNA from 1 species